GCUUGCUGUAGAGGCAGGCGCCGGGUGUGUCGCGGCAGUGCAGCGGCCGCGAAGGGGUGUUUUGCUGUAUGUCAUAUUCCUCGUUUCGCCAGAGCGGGGGUCCCGAGCUUCGGGCGCGGGACGCGGGGGUGCUCCGAGGCUGCGAGUGGAGGCGUGACGUGACGUCCCUGGCAAGAGGCGCGCGGAGUCAGGCCUUACUUAGAACGUGUUCCCGCCGCACAGCUACCAGCGGGCGCGACCGCUACCCACGCAUGGUGCGGUCGAGUAAACGGCACCGCCUGGCGAGCGAGAGACGCAAAGGGACAUAGCCCCCUAGGAGCUGAGCUCUUCGGGGGUAAAGCGUUCUCACGUUGAUGAGACCAGGAGGCGGCGCACGCCUGGCUCCGCGGCCCAGGGGUUGCAGGUGCCCCAGGGUUCGCGGGGCGCAGACGCCGCAGAGGGCGACGCCCUGCCCGGGUCCCGCGCGGACCCGGGGGACGCAGGGUCUGACACGGAGUGCGGAGGGGCCCCAGACACGCAGUCCAUGUCCCUUGAAACCAGAGGCACGCGCGGCCACGCGCUAGGCCUUUCCCUUAAGCCUGUGACCAAGAUCUCCGGGACUCCCAGCGUUGGGACGGGCGCGCUGGCCCACGCCCAAGCGGGAGGAUCGCUUGCGCCCAGGAGAUUGAGACCAGCCUGAGCACCAAAGCGAGACCUCGUCUCUACAAAAAAUAAGACUCAAGAAGACACCCAGGGUGAAUCGCCCGUCUGCAGCCAGCCUCCCGAGCACCGUGGCCGCGUCUGACAACUGACCUCUGUGUCUGGGUGUCCCUGUCCUCAGAGGGACACGGGACCUCAGAAAGGACCACAGCCCGGCGGCAGGCAUGAUGGUGGGAAAGCUAGUUAGGACAGGUGAGGCACUAAAUUUAGCCUGUCAUAAUUUGUAUCAGGGAAAUGAUGAACUUGUAUUUUUACACACCAUGGGCACCAACACAAGAUAUGGUUUCGUAAGCAGCUUUGGCAAGAACCAAAGGAACGGAACCUCUGCUUCCAAGUGUACGGUCAGGAGCAGCGUGUUAAUUAACCCAAACCUGCAAGCAACCCAAGUACUCAUCAGCAGGUGAAUAAACAAACUGGCACAUCCACACUGCGGAACACGGCUCAACCCCCAGGAGGACCCGGCGCGGAGCCCGGCUCAACCCUGAAGAGGAUUUCACUACUGACACACACGACAUCACAGGUGACUCUGGGAGCAAUCAGGUUCAGUGAGAGAAGCCGGACAAAAAAGAGUGCGUACCUUAUGACUCCACUUACAUAAAAUCCUAGAAAAUACAAACACCAGGCAGGCGCGGUGGCUCACCGCUGUAAUCCCCGCACUUCGGGAGGCCGAGGCAGGCACAUCACUUGAAGUCAGGAAUAUGAGACCCGCCUGGCCAACAUGGCAAAACCCCAUCUCUACUAAAAAUACAAAAAUUACCCUGGCGUGGUGGCACACGCCUGUAGUCCCAGCUACUCGGGAGGCUGAGGCAACCUGGGAGGCAGAGAUUUCAGUGAGCUGAGAUCACACCACGGCACUCCAGCCUGGGUGACAGAGACUCCAUCUCAAAAAAUAAAAAUAAAAAACAUAAAUAGCAACAGAGAGCAAAUCAGCAGUCGCUUGGGAAAUAAGGGGUAGGGAUGGGUGAGAGGGAGGGAUUACCAGGUACACGUGCAGCCUGGAUAGUGCUGAGGGCUUCACGACGUAGACGCAUCAGCCUCAUCAAAUUACACACUCUACCUAUGUGCGGUUUGCCUUGUGUCAACUGUGUAUCCAUAAAGCUAUCAACAAAAACUGCCUGCAAACUAUUUUUAACUGACAACUUUUUUUUUUUUUUGGGAUGGAGUCUCGCUCUGUUGCCCAGGCUGGAGUGCACUGGCGCGAUCUUGGCUCACUGCAACCUACGCCUCCUGGGUUCAAGCGAUCCUCCUGCCUCAGCCUCCUGAGUAGCUGGGACUACAGGUGUCCACCACCACGCCCGACUAAUUUUUGUAUUGUUAGUAGAGAUGGAGUUUCACCAUGUUGGUCAGGCUGGUCGCGAACUCCUGACCUCAAGUGAUCCACCGCCUUGGCCUCCAAAAGUGCUGGAAUUAUAGGUAUGAGCCACUGCACCUGGCCAGACAACUGU
rnacentral:lncRNA from 10 species